rnacentral:rRNA from 1 species
UACGUAGGUGACCAGCGUUGUCCGGAUUUACUGGGCGUAAAGCGCGCGCAGGCGGUCCUUUAAGUCUGAUGUGAAAGCCCACGGCUCAACCGUGGAGGGUCAUUGGAAACUGGGGGACUUGAGUGCAGGAGAGAAGAGUGGAAUUCCACGUGUAGCGGUGAAAUGCGUAGAGAUGUGGAGGAACACCAGUGGCGAAGGCGACUACCUGGCCUGUUCUUGACGCUGAGGCGCGAAAGCUGGGGGAGCAAACGGG